rfam:Myotis brandtii contig224109, whole genome shotgun sequence.
AGGCCCGGAGAGAGAAGCAGGGUCUGAUCCACAGCCUCCAUGGCAGCUGCUGAUCAGCCCUGCCUCUCUCUCUCUCUCUG